GAUGAACGCUAGCGGCAGGCUUAAUACAUGCAAGUCGUGGGGCAGCAGGUUUGUAGCAAUACAGAUGCUGGCGACCGGCAAACGGGUGCGGAACACGUACAGAACCUUCCUUUGAGCGGGGAAUAGCCCAGAGAAAUUUGGAUUAAUACCCCAUAGUAUAAUGAAGUGGCAUCACUUUAUUAUUAAAGAUUUAUCACUCGAAGAUGGCUGUGCGGCUGAUUAGGUAGUUGGCGGGGUAAAGGCCCACCAAGCCUGCGAUCAGUAACUGGUGUGAGAGCACGACCAGUCACACGGGCACUGAGACACGGGCCCGACUCCUACGGGAGGCAGCAGUAAGGAAUAUUGGUCAAUGGAGGCAACUCUGACCAGCCAUGCCGCGUGGAGGAUGAAGGUCCUCUGGAUUGUAAACUUCUUUUAUAAUGGGACGAAAAAAAGGCUUUCUAAGUCGUCUGACGGUACCAUAUGAAUAAG
rnacentral:rRNA from 1 species